rnacentral:lncRNA from 1 species
CUAGGAAGUGCUGUAGUUACUAAAACCAAAUGUGAUCUGUAGUGUGGACUUCCUGAUCCAGUUUCAUUUCAGUGGAAGAGAUAAGUACUUUAAAAAGUAGAGUCAGCACUCUGCAUCUCUUGAACAGUACAAGAUGUUUCAGUGGAAUAGGGAGGAAGUCACACUACUGCUUUAAGGCUUGCUUCUAGCUGUGACAAAGCUACAUUUUCUGUUUCACUAUACCCACAGUGCUAUUUAAUUUUCCAUAAAAGUCUCUGAAGCUUAUUCUAGUUGUUUUUAAAAGACAAAGAAAAAUCAAAAGAUAUGGCAAGGGAAAAAAUCUUUUUCUUCUGUUUUGCUUGAAUGUAAAUUGAGCAUAGGCUUCACUCCAUUGAGCUAGUGAUGGUUACUUCUUCAGAGAAUGGAAGACGUCCCAGGGAUGCUGUCACACUGCUGAUUUGCAGGUUUUUCAUAGAGCUGCCUCUGCCAAUUCAGUGUGUCCUUUUAGGGGAAUGUGAUGGGUAUGGGCCUUAGAAGUGGGAUCGUGAGACCAAGUAAGUCAUCUAAUAGAAGUCCUUGAUUUGUAAAAUUAUACAGUGGAGUAAAAGUAAAGGUGAGAUACAUUUUUAAGUACUUAGCAACCAGAGUUGAUGGAGUUUUGGAGGGCUUUAGUUAGACUCAUUCACCCUGAGCAUCAUGUAUUGUAUUGAUGAAUACGAAAUUACUCUAAGAACAUACACAGGCUCCAUGAUCUACUUAUACCAGUGACAUUCUAGUAUUGAGGAAGAAUUCCAUUUUAUUAUGAAGCCCAGAUUUUACUUUGCUCAAUGGAAUGCUUACUGUGGACUUAUAAAUAGUACUUGGGACUGAAGUGUCUCCUGCGUGGCUUUGAUGAUAUUUCUGAAAGGAAUAAAAUUGGAACAUUUCUAUAAACAUAGACAGAUUCUUCAGUAUCCUAAUAACAUACCCAAAUGCUUUUUCUGGGAGAGAACAGUCUUUUUGGCCAACAGCAGAAUUUUCCCUAUAAGAAAGCAUUGUAUUAUGCUGUGAAUUGGCAUUAAAACCUUUGGGAUGCCUUUGGAUUAUUAAGUUAAUGGAAAAUAUUUUAUAUUCUUUUUAUUAUUGUGUAUUAACAACAACAACAAAAAAGUAGGCAAAGAAAGGUCUGUAAAAUUUAGUUUCUCAAAAGUUUUGCACAGUGACUACAGCCAGCUGUGGGUCAGGCUUGGUACUCCAAAGCUUUUAUCAGAAGGUACCCUGAAGGGGCACACAUUCACCCAGUACACGUGCCCUGGUUAUUAGAAAUCUUGGCCCCUUGAGGUACAUUGCAGUGUGAAACGUAUUCCGGUAAGUUGAAAUUGACAUUGCUUAUUACUCAAAAUUCUUGACAGGAUUUUUAGCUUAUAACAUGAGAGGAAAUAAAAUUUGUCCCUCUCUCAUUUUUUAUUGACUGAGAAUACUACUAUGUGCCAGAAAGUAUUUUCCUCUCCCGUUUAUUUGUAUUCUUGCCAGGACAGUAUACGGUUUUUCCACCCCAGCUAAAUACUGGCUUUUGUAUGAAAUCAUUGGAGACAGAGUAUUUUAUAUGCCAGUUGAUUAGUCAACACAUGCAGUUGAUGUGGCUAGUACUAACAUGCAGCCAAAAACUAGACCUUUGGAAAGAAACCCAGGAGCCAGGUCAGUCAUCUUCAUAUAAUGCAUGUGAAAUACAUAGAUAAUACUGUUUUAAGAGACGGUGCAUAUUUUAAAGGUUGGCCUCAAGCUUCUGUAACAGUGUCAUAUCCCAUGACCUCUGUUGUCACAGCUACACCCUAACUCGGCAGGAAUUAUUGCUCCUUCAUUUGGGGAGGGACAAAAACCAAAACCUGGUGUUGUGACUCCUGUCCUAAUAGUUCUGAGGCAGGGCUAGUAAGAAGCACCAACCUGGAUCUAUGACUUGAGCAUUAUUAAACUUUGCAGAGAAGUUUUUUCCUUUCAUCAGGAUGACGCUAAUUAGUGGGUAGAUGAGAUUGUGGAGGAAUGGAUCCCCAUGGCCGUGAACACUGUGCACAUGUUUCGCGUGCUCCGAUCUGUCCAGCUGCCACUUCCCUUGCUGUAUGCUAUGCUUUCUGUCAGGCUGCAAAUUUGCACAUGUGAAAAAUUCCUCAGGAAGAGUUUGCACAUGCAUCACCUUGCAAUAUUGUGUACAGACCAGAUGAGGGAUUUGAAGGUUUUUAGCACAAAAGGAUAACUUCAGAGUGGUCUGUAUGUCUACUAGCAAAGGUAAUGGUGGUCUAGCAAACAAAAUUGGUUUCUGCGGUUAUAAAGUGAGCAGGAGCAUUUGUAUCAUAGUAUUUAAAUAACCCUGUUGCAGCAUCCUGUAAUCAGAAUAAAUAACCCUUCCAGAAUUUGUUUCAUUGAGGCUGCCCAUAUUUUAUUGAUUGUUCCCCCAUCUUAAUUGCAGAUAAUUAUUUCUGUGAUUACAUGGGAGAGGCAUUGCCCUUGAAGUCAAGUUCCCUUCCUUAAUAAGCAGCUAUUACUAAGCUAACUGAGCAUUGUUUUAUGAAUAUACACUAAUCUGAAAUAUGAAAGAACAGACUAAAAAGCAAACAAAAAAAUUCUGCAUUAGCUAUCUUGUCAUUGUUUGGAUGUUUUGACUUGAUUUUUUUAAUGGUGUGUGUCACUGAUCUUUUAGUUUGGAUGUUACGUUUACUUUAAUCCAAGUAUAGACCUCUUAAUGGGACUUUAAAAUCCAAGGUCAGAAUGUGAAUCCCUUGAUUGAUACCUGUAAGAGGGUUACAAGACCUUUUCGUGAUCAUUGUUUUCAGUAAGAUUGUGUAAAGUGAAGUCAAAAUGGAGCUUAGAAGAAGAGUUCGUGGAGAAAUGGCUGUCCUGUGAACCAUUAUUGCCCUAUUACAAUUGGCCUCACUUUCUGGCCACCAAAGUAUGUGACAGGAGUCCUUUCCAAGGGAAAUAAUUCUUCUGUCCCCUCAUUGAUGCCUCCUCCACUGUCUUGACACCCUACUUGGAAUCUCUUUCAAAGCUGAGUGGAACAAAUCCAUGUACUGUUUCAGCUUAUGUUGAUGGAGGGGCUGUGGGAGAAUUAAGAAAAUGAUAAGAGAUCCAUUCUUACAGGGCCCUGGUAUAUUAUUUUACUCCUGCUGGUUGGAAAUCAUCUUCAUCUUAGGUUGGACUGCAUUAUUUAGAAAAUAUUUAUAGAUUAUAAUUCUGGGAAAUUUAUAGGAUGACUCUGGGGUUAAUUCUGUGGUUUGGAAAAAAUAAAUAUUUUGUAUUCUCACAUGCCAUUUCAACGUUGUAACUAUGUACUGAAUGCAAUAAGAUUGUGAAGAAAUGAAGCCUCAUCCCUGGUGGUGCUUGUCGGUCAGAAGGUGUGGUAAGCUCAGAACAGUUGUUCUGUACAGCAGCUCUGUUAUUAGUCCAAGAAAAACCAAAAGGUGGAUGAAACAAUGAUUGGCACGGGAUAAGUAGCCACUGACUUUGGCUUUGACCUUUAACCUGUGGUGGAUUUUGAAUCCUCUAUUAGGGUGUAUAAUAUCACUCUUAACAUUGUGGUUUGUGAAAUAAAUCUUGUACAGAGAUUCUUG